rnacentral:rRNA from 1 species
GGGCCUAUACAUGCAGUCGAGCGAAUGGAUUAAGAGCUUGCUCUUAUGAAGUUAGCGGCGGACGGGUGAGUAACACGUGGGUAACCUACCCAUAAGACUGGGAUAACUCCGGGAAACCGGGGCUAAUACCGGAUAAUAUUUUGAACUGCAUAGUUCGAAAUUGAAAGGCGGCUUCGGCUGUCACUUAUGGAUGGACCCGCGUCGCAUUAGCUAGUUGGUGAGGUAACGGCUCACCAAGGCGACGAUGCGUAGCCGACCUGAGAGGGUGAUCGGCCACACUGGGACUGAGACACGGCCCAGACUCCUACGGGAGGCAGCAGUAGGGAAUCUUCCGCAAUGGACGAAAGUCUGACGGAGCAACGCCGCGUGAGUGAUGAAGGCUUUCGGGUCGUAAAACUCUGUUGUUAGGGAAGAACAAGUGCUAGUUGAAUAAGCUGGCACCUUGACGGUACCUAACCAGAAAGCCACGGCUAACUACGUGCCAGCAGCCGCGGUAAUACGUAGGUGGCAAGCGUUAUCCGGAAUUAUUGGGCGUAAAGCGCGCGCAGGUGGUUUCUUAAGUCUGAUGUGAAAGCCCACGGCUCAACC